GCAGUUGUGGCCGAGUGGUUAAGGCGAUUGACUAGAAAUCAAUUCCUCUUUGAGGGCGUAGGUUCGAAUCCUACCAACUGCG
rfam:Daphnia pulex DAPPTscaffold_7_Cont513, whole genome shotgun sequence.